rnacentral:rRNA from 1 species
UCGAGAAUUUUUCACAAUGGGGGAAACCCUGAUGGAGCGACGCCGCGUGGGGGAUGAAUGGCUUCGGCCCGUAAACCCCUGUCAUUUGCGAACAAACCCCAUGGCUGAACAGGUCAUGGGCUGAUAGUAGCAGAAGAGGAAGGGACGGCUAACUCUGUGCCAGCAGCCGCGGUAAUACAGAGGUCCCGAGCGUUGUUCGGAUUCACUGGGCGUAAAGGGUGCGUAGGCGGUGGGGUAAGUUUGAGGUGAAAUCUCCGGGCUCAACCCGGAAAAUGCCUUGAAGACUAUCCUGCUGGAGGAUCGGAGGGGAGACUGGAAUUCUCGGUGUAGCAGUGAAAUGCGUAGAUAUCGAGAGGAACACCAGUGGCGAAGGCGAGUCUCUGGACGAUUCCUGACGCUG